CGGCGAACGUGACGUCACUUUAACUAACUAAACGGCUACCAUUAUGGUAUGGGGGCAAACAAAGCGCUUGAAAAUGGAGAAAUGUGUUUUUGAUUGUUCCCUUAAUGUUAAUAGUCAUCCGAACUUGAUUUUUUAUAUUUUGUUUCCUGAUCCAAAGAGAAGAAAAUCGUGGCUUUAUGCUUUAUAUAGAACUGAUUCAUCUUGCUAAAACAAACUUAGGUCGCAAAACAUGUCUAAGUAUGCUCAAAACAUUUUGUAUCUGAAUAUUAUGUACAAAAAAGUCAUUGCAAUAAAUCUCAAGUUAUUAAAGUCAGUUAACAAAUAAGUACUGACAAUUCAUUGACUGGAGUGGAAGGUGUUAGUGUCUUGAACCAACAUGAAACAACAAGUUAACUUAGCUGAGAAUGAUGGUAGUUUAAAAAUAAUGCAGCAUUGGCUAGGAUUGUUCCUAGGUCACAAAAACAAUCUUACAAAAGUUUCUGCUGUUGUCACUGGUUUUAGAGAGUACCUUUGUGAAUGAAGAUAAAAAGUCAUUUAUGUUAUUUUUU
rnacentral:lncRNA from 1 species